UUGGAAACUGGGUCUAAUACCGGAUAGGAGCCAUCUUUAGUGUGGUGGUUGGAAAGUUUUUUCGGUGUAGGAUGAGCUCGCGGCCUAUCAGCUUGUUGGUGGGGUAAUGGCCUACCAAGGCGGCGACGGGUAGCCGGCCUGAGAGGGUGUACGGCCACAUUGGGACUGAGAUACGGCCCAG
rnacentral:rRNA from 1 species